GCAAUUGAGUCUAAGCCAGAUUGGAAUCAGCUGUGGUUGGCCCAAUUUACACAACAUAAAUCAGCUAAGAUAAAUUGUUUUUGAACUGAUAUAAUUGCAGAAGCAGAGGUUUUUAUACUGUAUCUAAGGUUUGGAACAUUGUUUUUGCUAUUGUGGGAUGUUGUGUGUUAACAUUUGUAAAUACUACAAAAACGAUCCAUAAUUUUGUUGGGAGGUAUAGCUUGUCUGUUCAGAAAAUGUAAGCAUUGUGGAAAUGUGUUCAAUGACUCCAUAUUGUGUGAAAACGACAUGAAAUGAGUGAAUGGUAUGGCCACAAUAGACAGAUGCUUUGCUAAUUGUGUUUAGAGUUUUGAAAAUAUGACAACUGCUUGGACAAAUGCUUGUUAGCGACUGAAAACAACUGUAAUAGAAAAUAAGAUGUCUGUUCAAGAGAUCUAGGUUGCUCAUUUAGACAGUUGUGAGCUCUUGUUUACAGCAGACCUGCACAUUUUGAAUAUUCAUAUUUGUAAUCCUCUUAAAAGCUUUAUGAUGUGGUGUUAUUUCAGAAAAUUAAGUACACGUUGGGUACAUUUUUUUUACAAACCAGUGCACUUACUGGUUUGAAAAUCUUAAGAAUGAUUCAAGAAAUUAUAUAUCUAUGUAUCUCUCUCUCUCUCUCUCUCUCUCUCUCUCUAUAUAUAUAUAGAGAGAGAGAGAGAGAGAGAGAGAGAGAGAGCAGUUAUAGUCAUACAAAAGAACAAAAGUGUUUAAAAGAAUCAUGAAUUAAGCUGGCACGUUUAAAUGUUUGUUUACAGAUUUAUUAGUUCUUACUUUGAUUUUCAACUCUAGCCCUAGCCCUAGCUGAGAUCUGCUUCUGCUGCUCAUACUGUGAUCAGCCGCCCUUCCCCCACAACACUCUCUGAUCGCGCGCGCGCCCUUCCCCCACAGCACUGUCUCUGACUGACUCGCUGCAGAUGAGAUGAAUGAAUGAACUAACAAAAGUCUUGUGAGCUCUAGUUUACAGCAGACCUGCACGUUUUGAAUAUUCUUAUUUGUAAUUCUCUUAAAAACUUUAUGAUGUGGUGUUAUUUUAUAAAAAUAAGUGCACACCGGGUACUUUUUGCUCUUUUAAACCAGUGCUUGUACGGACAUGCGCACUGGUUCCUAGUUUGAGGUGGGUGCUCGGUUAAAAAGUGAUCAUGUGCUCUGUCCACUAGAAAGACUAACUUCAUCACAUUUUUUUUUUAAGUUUGAAGAAACAGUACUGUGGUCAAAACAAAUAUCAUUGCCACCAGAUAAUUUUCUAUUAGGCCAAAUAAAUGUAGUCACAAUUUCAACGUGAAAUCCAAAUACGUAACUACGUCAUUUACGCAAGUCAGCGACGGUGGUGUUUUCCCGGGAAAUGCAGACACGUGACGAUGGAACGCGCGAAACAGACGACAAACAACCCACCAGGAGGAAAGAAAAACACAACACCGGUUUGGAUAUGAGGUCAUUUCAAGAAAGAAAGUCGCCAUGCUGGGAAAUAAAAGACGUAGGAAACCUCUGCAGGAUGCUGAGCAUCACAUUACCUGUAAAACUGACAAGCCUGGGCUUCGAGAGCAGUUCAUCAGCAAAUAUAAAGGCAAGUAUAAAUGACUAAGCAGUUUAGUAACUAAUAACUAGGGCUGGGGGAUAUGGCAAAAAAGUUAUCACGAUAAUUGUUUUAUAUUAGUCGAUAUCGAUAAUUAUCACAAUAAAUGUCAAAUCUUUAUUUCUUUCAAGUUUAAAGGCAGAUAUUUGCUCCUAAGUGAAAGUUGUAGAAACCAGAGCAUUAAUUGUGGUUUUAAACUACUCUUUAUUGUCAGAACAUAUCAUGACAAACACUUGCCAAACAGGUGAACAUUUCACAAAUCUGAGGUAGAACAUUCAAACAUUUGUUAUUUUUCCUUAACAAAAUAAAUAUAUUUAUUGGAAAAUGUAUUUCUUAGUUCCUGGAUGUGCUAAUGGGGGAUAUUGUUUCAAGUCUUGAAACAGGUUUGUGUUGCCUGACUUUGAUGGCACGGAUCUUCAGCACAGUUUACAGUGCAGGCAGCAAUAUUAAUAUUAGAUAUAUUUUGUCUCAAAAUGCAUAUUUGACAAUGAUUUGCAGCAGUAUUAGAUUCAGUUAGGAGCAGAUUUACUAUGUAAAAUUUAUGUUCAUUAACAAAAACAGUAACAUCUUUUAAAA